CGCCCGGUGGCACAGAGUUGUGCGUCUGCUGAAUUUGAAGUCUUGGAAUGAUUGGAUUAUGCAGAAGACCCCCGUUCGAUUCGGGGUCGGGCGA